rnacentral:rRNA from 9 species
CCUACGGGAGGCAGCAGUAGGGAAUCUUCCGCAAUGGACGAAAGUCUGACGGAGCAACGCCGCGUGAGCGAUGAAGGCCUUCGGGUCGUAAAGCUCUGUUGUUAGGGAAGAAUAAGUGCUAGUUGAAUAAGCUGGCACCUUGACGGUACCUAACCAGAAAGCCACGGCUAACUACGUGCCAGCAGCCGCGGUAAUACGUAGGUGGCAAGCGUUGUCCGGAAUUAUUGGGCGUAAAGCGCGCGCAGGCGGUUUCUUAAGUCUGAUGUGAAAGCCCCCGGCUCAACCGGGGAGGGUCAUUGGAAACUGGGAAACUUGAGUGCAGAAGAGGAAAGUGGAAUUCCAAGUGUAGCGGUGAAAUGCGUAGAGAUUUGGAGGAACACCAGUGGCGAAGGCGACUUUCUGGUCUGUAACUGACGCUGAGGCGCGAAAGCGUGGGGAGCAAACAGGAUUAGAUACCCUGGUAGUCCACGCUGUAAACGAUGAGUGCUAAGUGUUAGAGGGUUUCCGCCCUUUAGUGCUGAAGUUAACGCAUUAAGCACUCCGCCUGGGGAGUACGGUCGCAAGACUGAAACUCAAAGGAAUUGACGGGGGCCCGCACAAGUGGUGGAGCAUGUGGUUUAAUUCGAAGCAACGCGAAGAACCUUAC